rnacentral:rRNA from 1 species
AUUGAACGCUGGCGGCAUGCCUUACACAUGCAAGUCGAACGGCAGCACGGACUUCGGUCUGGUGGCGAGUGGCGAACGGGUGAGUAAUGUAUCGGAACGUACCUUUCAGUGGGGGAUAACGUAGCGAAAGUUACGCUAAUACCGCAUAUUCUGUGAGCAGGAAAGCAGGGGAUCGAAAGACCUUGCGCUGAUUGAGCGGCCGAUAUCAGAUUAGCUAGUUGGUGGGGUAAAGGCCUACCAAGGCGACGAUCUGUAGCGGGUCUGAGAGGAUGAUCCGCCACACUGGAACUGAGACACGGUCCAGACUCCUACGGGAGGCAGCAGUGGGGAAUUUUGGACAAUGGGGGCAACCCUGAUCCAGCCAUGCCGCGUGAGUGAAGAAGGCCUUCGGGUUGUAAAGCUCUUUCGGCCGGGAAGAAAUCGCAUAGGCUAAUACCCUGAGUGGAUGACGGUACCGGAAUAAGAAGCACCGGCUAACUACGUG